UACAGAGGUCCCAAGCGUUACUGAGAAUCACUGGGUUUAAAGGGUGCGUAGGUGGUCCGUUAAGUCAGUUGUGAAAUCCCCGGGCUUAACCCGGGAAGUGCUUCUGAUACUGCUUGGCUUGAGUACUGGAGAGGAUAGUGGAAUUCCAGGUGUAGUGGUGAAAUACGUAGAUAUCUGGAGGAACACCGGUGGCGAAGGCGGCUAUCUGGCCAUGUACUGACGCUGAGACACGAAAGCGUGGGGAGCAAACAGG
rnacentral:rRNA from 1 species